CUGCACCCAGAGGGGAUUGCUUCACCUCGGCUCCUUGGCCUCCAGAGUAUGUAGAUGUCUGUGGGACAGCUAUUCAUGCAGGCACUGAACCACUCAUGCUCUGAACUUCAUGAGAACAACUGGUUUUCAAAAGUUUUUGAGGUCAGAUUCCCAUUCUAAUUCACUAUUAUUUGCAAAUAUUAAAGAUCAUUAUCCUGUGAUCUCUGAAGACUCCUUCAGCAGGUAACAUUCCUUUUGGAUAAGGGUGAGUGCUCCUUUGCAGCGGGAGGGAUCAGCAGCAGCAGCAGGAAGGGGCUGUGCUGGCCCUCUGUGAUGGAGCCCAGUGGCUGCUGCCUGGGGCCCAGGCCAGAUGUGCUCCAGCUGCAGCAGGGUGCUCUUUGGACAGCCCCUAGCAUCCCCCUGUGAGGAGAAUGGCAUGCUGCCCUGGCCCAUCCAGCUCCUGGGCAUCCUGCAAGCAAGAAGGACCUGUGAGAGAGGGGAUCUUCCAUAGAGCUGCCAGCAGAAUAGCCCUUCAUGUGCUGAUGGAGAUCCUGGAUGCUGGAGAAGACAAUCUGCGCUGCUGCUAGCUGACCUCAAGCUGUUUUCCGGAUCAGCUGUUUUCACCACCGCACAAAGCCCAGAUGGCUGAGCACCAGUACAGAGAGACACGCAGUUCCUGUGCCUGGAGCUGGGUGACAGCCCAUCCUGCUCCUCUAGCGGCAGAAAUAGGCGGAGUCCAGUCACACAGAGGAAAUGUGAAGGGGAGAAGAAUGCUUAUGCUCCUCAGAAAUAUUAUGUGCUGAGCCCUGAGUAUCCACAUGGAUUGUGUGUAGCUUUGCCCCCAGAACUCUGGCAGCUGAUGGCUCUUGGGCAGUUUCACAAACACAGUGAAAGGCAUUUCCUUGGUUCAAAAAACACUACCAUGUCUAAACUUGAAGUCACCCUCCCAGAGGUACUAGAUUUCCACAGUGAAAAAAAGCUUUGAUAUUAUCUGUGCUGUGUGUGUCGUAAAUCACUUUUAUUCUGUUCCCAAAAGCAGAUCAAUGCUUUUAGCCAAGGCUCAACAAGCAGCCUGCUUGUGGCAGACACAGCCCAUGGAAAGUUCCAUCCAGAGAGUUUCAGGCUGGCGAAUUUUAAACUGGAAAGAGCAACUUAAAAUGGAAAACGUUAAGAACUCUCAUGCAUGGCUAUCCAGUUCUUCCAAACCUCUUACUUUUUCCACUUAAAGUAUGUGUGUGCAUGCAUGCAUGUGUAUAUUUUCACAUACAUUCAAAGUGGCACCCCUAAAAUGAUACUAAGAGAAUGUUGUUUCUGUAAAUCUCCUUCCCCGCCGAGCAGCCUUUGCCUGGGUUUUCCAGCACAGCAUAAGCAGGGCAUUUCAACAUGGCACAAUACCAUUCUAAGCCACUGCUACACUUUCAAGGACCACAGUUGGCAAUUACUUGAAGAAAAGAAAACGACCGGCCUAUUGAAGAGCGUGUAACCAAGCCCGCAAGGACCCUUUGGGAUAUUCCAGGUUCCCAGCAUGCCAGCAGCUGCGAGCUGAGCAGAGAGCUCGCAGCGCUGACCGAGCUCUCCUUGCAACACAACACCACAUUGUCCGGGCCAGGCGUAAGAACACUCCUCCUGCAGAUAAGAUGAGUUUGACACAAGUACCUUUUUAAUGGCCAUAUUUCACUUGCGAGACAAACACAUCGCUUAAAGCUCAUUACUAAUUUUCCAUUUUUCCCCCCCUGCGAA